UAGCCAACAACAUAGCAACUUUAGACGCCAACAUCGCUAAACAUUUAGGGUUUUGGGCAACAAAUGCCCAAAAUCACAACUUCGAAAGCAGAAAAUUCAUAGUAAUAAUUUCGUUUUCCGAAUAAUGUAAAUACUUACAUUUUUAGUUAAAUCUCUGCCUGGUUGCUUCUCGGAAUCUGCAAUAAAAUUGUCAAAAAACAUUGUUGCAGAUCUUGAUUAUCAGAUCUGUAUUUGGAGCUGUCUGUAAUGGCGG
rnacentral:misc_RNA from 1 species